rnacentral:rRNA from 1 species
UACAUGGGGUGCAAACGUUGCUCGGAAUUAUUGGGCGUAAAGCGCGCGUAGGCGGUUACUUAAGUCGGAUGUGAAAGCCCUCGGCUUAACUGAGGAAGUGCAUCCGAAACUGAGUAGCUAGAGUACGAAAGAGGGUCGCGGAAUUCCCGGUGUAGAGGUGAAAUUCGUAGAUAUCGGGAGGAACACCGGUGGCGAAGGCGGCGACCUGGGUCGAGACUGACGCUGAUGCGCGAAGCGUGGGGAGCAAACGAGGGAUUAGAAACCCGUAUUAGAUCCCAGA